UGCAAGUCGAGCGGAGAUUUGAAAAGCUUGCUUUUCAAAUCUCGGCGGACGGGUGAGCACGUGGGCAACCUGCCCUUGAGACGGGGACUCCGGGAAACCGGAGCUAAUACCGGACACAUAUCUUCGCAUGAUGAUAUGUUAGAAGGUGGCUUUCUACCACUCAAGGAUGGGCCCGCGGCGCAUCUAGUUGGUGAGGUAACGGCUCACCAAGGCGACGAUGCGCCGACCGAGGGUGAUCGGCCACACUGGGACGACACGGCCCAGACUCCUACGGGAGGCAGCAGUAGGGAAUCUUCCGCAAUGGACGAAAGUCUGACGGAGCAACGCCGCGUGAGUGAUGAAGGUUUUCGGAUCGUAAAGCUCUGUUGUGGAAGAACAAGUAUCUGUAUAAGCAGGUACCUUGACGGUACCCCAGAAAGCCACGGCCUACGUGCCAGCAGCCGCGGUAAUACGGUGGCAAGCGUUGUCCGGAAUUAUUGGGCGAGCGCGCGCAGGCGGUUCCUUAAGUCUGAUGUGAAAGCCCACGGCUCAACCGUGGAGGGUCAUUGGAAACUGGGGAACUUGAGUGCAGAAGAGGAGAGCGGAAUUCCACGUGUAGCGGUGAAAUGCGUAGAGAUGUGGAGGAACACCAGUGGCGAAGGCGGCUCUCUGGUCUGUAACCGCGGCGCGAAAGCGUGGGGAGCGAACAGGAUUAGAUACCCUGGUAGUCCACGCCGUAAACGAGUGCUAAGUGUUAGAGGGUUUCCGCCCUUUAGUGCUGCAGCAAACGCAUUAAGCACUCCGCCUGGGGAGUACGGUCGCAAGACUGAAACUCAAAGGAAUCGGGGACCCGCACAAGCGGUGGAGCAUGUGGUUUUCGAAGCAACGCGAAGAACCUUACCAGGUCUUGACAUCCUCUGCUACUUCAGAAAGGUUCCCUUCGGGGACAGAGUGACAGGUGGUGCAUGGUUGUCGUCAGCUCGUGUCGUGAGAUGUUGGGUUAAGUCCCGCAACGAGCGCAACCCUUCUUUGCCAGCAUUCAGUUGGGCACUCGGUGACUGCCGGCAAACCGGAGGAAGGUGGGGACGUCAAAUCAUCAUGCCCCUUAUGACCUGGGCUACACACGUGCUACAAUGGAUGGUACAAAGGGCUGCAAAACCGCGAGGUGCCAAUCCCAUAAAACCAUUCUCAGUUCGGAUUGUAGGCUGCAACUCGCCUACAAGCCGGAAUCGCUCGCGGAUCAGCAUGCCGCGGAUACGUUCCCGGGUCUUGUACACACCGCCCGUCACACCACGAGAGUUUGUAACACCCGAAGUCGGUGAGGUAACCUUUGGAGCCAGCCGCCGAAGG
rnacentral:rRNA from 2 species